GACGAACGCUGGCGGCGUGCUUAACACAUGCAAGUCGAACGGAAAGGCCCUGCUUUUGUGGGGUGCUCGAGUGGCGAACGGGUGAGUAACACGUGAGUAACCUGCCCUUGACUUUGGGAUAACUUCAGGAAACUGGGGCUAAUACCGGAUAGGAGCUCCUGCUGCAUGGUGGGGGUUGGAAAGUUUCGGCGGUUGGGGAUGGACUCGCGGCUUAUCAGCUUGUUGGUGGGGUAGUGGCUUACCAAGGCUUUGACGGGUAGCCGGCCUGAGAGGGUGACCGGCCCAAUGGGGCCGGGGAUACGGCCCAGACCCCUCCGGGGGGCAGGGGGGGGGAAUAUUGCAAAAGGGGGGGAAGCCUGAUGCAGCAACGCCGGGGGCGGGAUGACGGCCUUCGGGUGGUAAACCGCUUUCGCCUGUGACGAAGCGGGAGUGACGGUAAUGGGGAAAGAAGCACCGGCUAACUACGU
rnacentral:rRNA from 1 species